rnacentral:rRNA from 1 species
GAUUGCUAGCUUUUUUAGUUAGCCUUAGGAUUGAGGAUUGACUUUAUGUCUCUUCUUACAUCUCCAGGUCUAUGUUUCUUCAAAUACCCCAAUGUAUGUUUUUAGAAUGUAAUUAUUAGGCCUUUGUGCCUAUAAGUCUAUACAACUUUCAGCAACGGAUCUCUUGGCUCUCGCAUCGAUGAAGAACGCAGCGAAAUGCGAUAAGUAAUGUGAAUUGCAGAAUUCAGUGAAUCAUCGAAUCUUUGAACGCACCUUGCGCUCCUUGGUAUUCCGAGGAGCAUGCCUGUUUGAGUGUCAUUAAUAUAUCAACCUCUUUGGUUGGAUCUGGGUUUGCUGGCCUCAUUGAUAUCAGCUCUCCUUAAAUGUAUUAGCAGACAACAUUUUGCCAAACGCUCAUUGGGUGUGAUAAUUAUCUACGCUAUUGACGUGAAGCAUGUUUUGCUUAUAACUGUCCAUUGACUUGGACAAAUUUUC